AUUGAACGCUGGCGGCAUGCCUUACACAUGCAAGUCGAACGGCAGCACGGGUGCUUGCACCUGGUGGCGAGUGGCGAACGGGUGAGUAAUACAUCGGAACAUGUCCUGUAGUGGGGGAUAGCCCGGCGAAAGCCGGAUUAAUACCGCAUACGAUCUACGGAUGAAAGCGGGGGACCUUCGGGCCUCCCGCUGUAGGGUUGGCCGAUGGCUGAUUAGCUAGUUGGUGGGGUAAAGGCCUACCAAGGCGACGAUCAGUAGCUGGUGUGAGAGGACGACCAGCCACACUGGGACUGAGACACGGCCCAGACUCCUACGGGAGGCAGCAGUGGGGAAUUUUGGACAAUGGGCGAAAGCCUGAUCCAGCAAUGCCGCGUGUGUGAAGAAGGCCUUCGGGUUGUAAAGCACUUUUGUCCGGAAAGAAAUCCUUGGCCCUAAUACGGUCGGGGGAUGACGGUACCGGAAGAAUAAGCACCGGCUAACUACGUG
rnacentral:rRNA from 1 species